CAGCAGCCGCGGUAAUACGAAGGGGGCUAGCGUUGCUCGGAAUCACUGGGCGUAAAGGGAGCGCAGGCGGGCGAGUAAGUCUUUCUUAAAAGUGCGGGGCUCAACCCCGUGAGGGGAGAGAAACUACUCAUCUUGAGUGCAGGAGAGGAAAGCGGAAUUCCUAGUGUAGCGGUGAAAUGCGUAGAUAUUAGGAAGAACACCAGUGGCGAAGGCGGCUUUCUGGACUGUAACUGACGCUGAGGCUCGAAAGCCAGGGGAGCGAACGGGAUUAGAUACCCCUGUAGUCCCUGUCUCUUAUACC
rnacentral:rRNA from 1 species